AAGAGGUGAGUUUUUGGGUGAUUUGGGCGGAGAGAUUUGAGGUGAGGGAGACAGAAGAAGAAGCUCCGGCGGAAGCCAUUACAAUCGGAAAAGGAUCGGAAAAAAAAUGGAGUUUUAAUCCUUUGAAGCUCUUGAUACCAUGAAACAAUUAUGGGUUUGAAUGAGUUCUGUAUUGAUAGAGUUAGCUAUGAAAUAGAGUACAGGAGAUUGGUUACAACUGAAAGAUGUGAAGGAUAUACAGGAUAGAGACUAAUUCAAAAGCUAACAAAAUCUUAAACAAUAUACAGAUAAUAGGCACAAUAAUAGGGAUG
rnacentral:lncRNA from 1 species